rnacentral:rRNA from 1 species
GGGAUAACAUUCUGAAAAGAAUGCUAAUACCGCAUGACAUAUCGGAACCACAUGGUUCUGAUAUCAAAGAUUUUAUCGCUUGAAGAUGGACUCGCGUCCGAUUAGUUAGUUGGUGAGGUAACGGCUCACCAAGACCGCGAUCGGUAGCCGGACUGAGAGGUUGAACGGCCACAUUGGGACUGAGACACGGCCCAGACUCCUACGGGAGGCAGCAGUGGGGGAUAUUGCGCAAUGGGGGCAACCCUGACGCAGCAACGCCGCGUGAAGGAUGAAGGUUUUCGGAUUGUAAACUUCUUUUAUUAAGGACGAAAAAUGACGGUACUUAAUGAAUAAGCUCCGGCUAACUACGUGCCAGCAGCCGCGGUAAUACGUAGGGAGCAAGCGUUGUCCGGAUUUACUGGGUGUAAAGGGUGCGUAGGCGGCUUUGCAAGUCAGAUGUGAAAUCUAUGGGCUCAACCCAUAAACUGCAUUUGAAACUGUAGAGCUUGAGUGAAGUAGAGGCAGGCGGAAUUCCCCGUGUAGCGGUGAAAUGCGUAGAGAUGGGGAGGAACACCAGUGGCGAAGGCGGCCUGCUGGGCUUUAACUGACGCUGAGGCACGAAAGCGUGGGUAGCAAACAGGAUUAGAUACCCUGGUAGUCCACGCUGUAAACGAUGA